rfam:Salmo salar isolate Sally breed double haploid chromosome ssa15, whole genome shotgun sequence.
ACCCCUGUAAUUUGUAAGUCGCUCUGGAUAAGAGCGUCUGCUAAAUGUCUAAAA